rnacentral:tRNA from 1 species
UGUCCAGGGGCGGGAAUCGAACCCACACCCUUCUGCUUACCGGGCAGGUGCCUUGCCCACUCCCUGGAC